rnacentral:rRNA from 1 species
AACGAACGCUGGCGGCAGGCUUAACACAUGCAAGUCGAACGCCCCGCAAGGGGAGUGGCAGACGGGUGAGUAACGCGUGGGAACCUACCUUUCGGUACGGAAUAACUCGGGGAAACUCGUGCUAAUACCGUAUAUUCCGGUAACGGGAAAGAUUUAUCGCCGAAAGACGGGCCCGCGUUAGAUUAGCUAGUUGGUGGGGUAAUGGCCUACCAAGGCGACGAUCUAUAGCUGGUCUGAGAGGAUGAUCAGCCACACUGGGACUGAGACACGGCCCAGACUCCUACGGGAGGCAGCAGUGGGGAAUCUUGGACAAUGGGGGAAACCCUGAUCCAGCCAUGCCGCGUGAGUGAUGACGGCCUUAGGGUUGUAAAGCUCUUUCACGCAUGACGAUGAUGACGGUAAUGCGAGAAGAAGCCCCGGCUAACUUCGUGCCAGCCGCCGCCGUAA